AGACGUUUUAAGACAAACACCAGCUGCCCCGCACUGCUGUGAAUGUUGCAGAGAACACAGGGAUGUGGGACUGCUUCGUCUUGUGCUAUCUGGAGCCUGAGUUUAUGAGGGGCUGUGUGUUUAUCUCGGGAUUGGGAAUAUAACCAACUCCUGAUUACCUUACCAGGGCUAAUGGAUAGUCAUAAAUAUUCCAAGCAGCUGAAAAAAAAUCGAAGAAUAAUUUUUGCAGACACAUUUUUAAGGACGGUCUUGUGUAGCCUCGGCUUAGCCCAAUUUUCUCCGUAGCUGGGGAUGACCUUGAACGUCUGAGGAUGACCUGGAACGUCUGAGGAUGACCUGGAACGUCGUCUGGUCCUCACAGGUGCAGAGAUGACAGGAAGCUGAGGUAAAGAGAAGAUGCUGGAAAUGUGAGAGACAAGCUAGCAAAGUGGCCUCUGCAUCAGCUCCUGCCUCCAAGUCCCUGCCACAUCUGAGUUCCCGUCCUCACUUCCUCUGGUGAUGAAAUGUGAUAUGGAAACGUAAGUGAAGAAACCCUUCACUCCCCCAAGUCACUUCGUUCACGGUGUUUCACACCAUGUUAGAGCAAUAGCAACUCUAAGAUCAUCGGACUCCAGGAGUCUCUCCUACAUAUGCAAAGAUUCUUUUUAAAAGAAUCACAGAUUAGAACGAAAACCUGUUUUCUUCAGUAGAGCUUCAGCCCAGCUUGCAUUAACCAAAACUGACCCAAAAUUCUGUGGCCAAAAUAAAUGACUCUGCACUGAAUUUGCGGCUGUUAGCCUGUAGAAAUCAAUUAUUACACAGGAGUAUCCUUUCAAAAUUUAUAAUGCUUGUUUCUUUUCAUUUAAUUUUUCCCUAAGAUGGAG
rnacentral:lncRNA from 1 species